UCUCUUCUCUUCAAUAAAGGUUUGGUGUUGGAUCCAGUUAACAUUCAGGUUGUUACAAAACACAUGACCUUUCGAAAUACAGAACAAUAAUCAGGAUACAUUUUUUGAGAUUCCAGAAUUUUAUUGAUAAUUUAAUUAGAAAAUAAGAUAAAUAUGUAUUCACGAUACUAACAUAAAAUAAUAAACUUCAAAACACAUUAUAUGGCAUAUGUAUUUAUAUUUAUUAAAUUAUAUUUAACUCGAUUCAUUGUGAAAUUUGUAAUUUUUUAUUAAUAAUAACUGAUGAGUUAUUUAUAGACUCUAUAACUAUUGGUACUUGAAAAAAAUGUAUAUUAGUGCUCUUCAAGUUACAUUCUUGUGAUGUAAACAGAAAGAAGUUGUUGCAGCAAAAGGUUAGAAGUUAGUUUUUUGUAAUAAUAAUAAAUUUGAUUAUAUUAUGUAAUUUUGAAUUUGGAUGUAGCAUGGCGUGCACUUGACAUUUGAAUAUUUGUUUAGCAAGCCAAUUUUCAGCUUUAGGAAUAACUCAAUUUUUUUUUUUUUUUUAAACAUUUCGUUCAAAAUAUGUUAUCAAUUAUAUUUAGAGCAACUUCCUUGUGCCAAGUUAAUUUCUAACUAAUAGCUGGUCU
rnacentral:lncRNA from 1 species